CAAUAACAGUGCGCAGGAUGUGCAGCCCGUUCAGGUGAUCAAAUACCGCUGCUUUGUCACGCCCCUCAACGUCUGAUACCGAGGCACAAAUCCCCCCUUUGUCAGAUACCAAGCAGCCGUAUUUGACCGAUGAGAACGGAGAGCAGCUGAGUCACAGCCAGCGUACAGGAUGAAGCCUGCCCUUCGGCGGCAUUCAUUCAAAAUCCGGCAACUCGGCACCACCCCACAGGGUUGUGCAGAGGUGUGGUUGUGUUUAUUUGUGUUUUAGAACGUAACCGCAGUGAAACAAUCAAAGAAUAAAGUUUUAUUUCUCUGAUUGGCAGUUUUAUUCUCACCAACGCCGCUCCCUCUCUUCAUUCACUCUAUAGCUCCCUCCACCAUCGCUGCUCUCUCUCCCUCUCCCUCGCUCGUUGAGCUGAGGAGGGGCCAACACAAGGAUGUAUUAAGAGAACUGGAUACAGUGUUGGAGGCGGGGCCCCGUUCAUUCCUAUGAGAGUUGUUCAGUGGUGCACGAAGACAAAAUGGAUCGACUUCCGUCUGGAAAAGUUACCGGAUCAUGGGCUAUUAGAAUAUUCGUACUGGGAAGUUGAUUCAACAAAAAAAAAAAAAUCCGCUGAGUUACAUGGGAAAAAGUAUUUUUGGGUCCAAUGGCAUCACGUGACUGACAUGGAAGUUGCAGUACCGCUGUUUGGCCGCUACGAAAGUUGGGAUCGACGACCGGCGCUCUUCCUGGGGGCUUGGCAUGAAGCUUAAAUGGCUCGACUUCCAUCUGAAAUAGUACCGGGAACUUGGGCACAUGGAACAUGCGCAGUAGCGUCCGCUCGGUCACAUGACUCGGUCACGGGGUCCCAACGUCACACCGUCGUUACGGCUUGCGCUCCAGCCUCGGUCUGGGUCUCAUUCACAAGAACGGAGGAAGGGAAAUAACUCUAGAUUCGGCUAUUGGUGUUUGUACUAACUUUUAACUUCUAACUAACUUUUAACUUCUAACUAACUUUUAAAAUUUAUUUUUUUAAAUAAGGGCUGUAAGAGUAUUCAUACUGGGAAGUUCAUUCACCUCAAAAAAAAAGAUCCGCUGAUUUAUAGACGUCUCUUUCCCAAUGAAAGUCUAUGGGAAAAAGUCUUUUUGGGCCCAAUGGCAUCACGUGAUGGACACGGAAGUUGUAGUAAAAAGUAGCAUCUUGACAAAUCAGAUUGCACCACUAAUAUUUCCCAGCAUCAACGCACAUCAGCGUUCCAGGAAAGCAGAAAUUUGAGCAUCGCACGCAUCCAGGCUUCCGUAUGACUUCUCUCUGUAAAGUGCACGCAGUGUGCAUUAUUAACGUCAAAUGUCACUACAGUACACAACGCAGAGACAGACUCCUUCAGUCAUAAUAUAAUGAAAAAAUGUACAUUAGAUGUUCUUUGAACCGUAUGCUAAAAACCAACUGACAGGAUUAGGUCUGAAAUUAUUUGUAUGCUAGAAAUUGAUGAAGAGAUACAGGAUCCAGGGCAAAAUGGGAAGAACUGUCUUGAAGGGCAGUGAGGCAGGUUUUUAUACACAGGCCAGGCCUGAGACUGCUGGAAUAAAAUAGGAGGAAGUUUCUUCUUAUUGGAUGUGAAAGCUACUAACGGACCAAUACCUGAUUUUAAUAACAAUUAUCCCAGUAUAUCAGCAAUAUAUCACUCUAACAGUACCAUAAACAAACCAUACACACCAAGGACGAGGACAGCUAGAGUACAGACACACAAGACAGGGGCUGAUGCUACAUGUGGGUCCAGCGAUGGAGGGAAAAUGUUGCUGAGGUAGGAGGGAUUCAUUAUAAACCAACGGGUAUGUUUGGGCUCCUAUUUACACACUGGACUGACUCAAGUCUGGCUCAAGCGAGUCAGACUGUCGGAAUACACACCUUGGAGGUUUAGCUGCCACCCUGCUGGCUUGAUCGAGUCACAUCGUGUCAAUAUUUUAGAGAUAGUGUCACUAUGGCCAUUAAAAUUUAAGCUGCAUCUGUCACCAGCCUGCUACCUGAGAGUUGUAUCUGCUAGAGUUAAUUAUGUAAUAAGGCGCUCGCAUCAGGGACCCGGGCCUGGAUCCUAGUAUUGACCCCAAAGUCCAGUUUGUUUGAUUAGUGUGAACACUGUGUACUAGGCACGUUUCAACGACGGGCGGUCUCGAGUACAGAUCAUGUGUACUCGGGUACAAUUCGCAUCAGGUGUGAAAACUAACUGUACCAAAACACCAAAGCGGACUGCUAUUUAAUACGUGUAGAAGUUGGCAAGUAGACUUGCAGAGGCAUUUUUCGGAAAUCUGCAUAUGCGCGCAGCACGCUCCGGUCGCAAUCCUCUUAUCUACACAGCAGGGUUAUUAUAAGCAGUGUAAAAUAUUUUUAGUAAACUGAAACUAAAUAAAAACUAUAU